CCUACGGGUGGCAGCAGUGAGGAAUAUUGGUCAAUGGGCGGAAGCCUGAACCAGCCAAGUAGCGUGCAGGAUGACGGCUCUACGGGUUGUAAACUGCUUUUAUACGGGAAUAACGCGCCUUACGUGUAGGGCUUUGCAUGUACCGUUUGAUUACGGACCGGCUAAUUCUGUGCCAGCAGCCGCGGUAAUCCGGAAGGUCCGGGCGUUAUCCGGAUUUAUUCGGUGUAAAGGGAGCGUAGGCCGCAUGUCAAGCGUGCUGUGAAAGGUCCGGGCUCAACCCGGGGCUUGCAGCGCGAACUGGCGUGCUAGAGUCCGCGGAAGGCAGGCGGAAUUCGUGGUGUAGCGGUGAAAUGCGUAGAUAUGACGAAGAACCCCGAUUGCGAAGGCAGCUUGCUGCAGCGGAACUGACGCUGAUGCUCGAAAGCGCGGGUAUCGAACAGGAUUAGAUACCCGGGUAGUC
rnacentral:rRNA from 1 species